rnacentral:piRNA from 1 species
UCAGAUUGAACAGCUAGUGCCGAGAGGCAU